UGGCCAGCCCCCUGGGUAUGUACUUGAACAGCUAGCCUGAGCUGUCACCUGUGCCACUACAGCCACGCUACUAUUUUUAGGUACUAGCUUGAGCAGAGCUAAUGUGUAUAUGUGUACCCAACCUCAGACUCAACACUUUCCAGCUACUGUGUAGACAUACCCUUGGUAUGUUUUUGAAGGUAAUCAUUAAUUGCCUUAAAUAAUGCUUUGAAUAACUAAAUUAACUUCAGUAUUUGUAGUAUUCUAGGUAUUACCUAUACAAAAAACGUAGGUAGUACUGCAAUUGCUGAGGGAAAUAUCUAUUUAAAGUAAAACUAAUAACUCUCUAAAAGUGUGACAACUGUAUACUUAAUUUGUGAUUAUUGAACAUCUAUACACACAGUGAUAGUACAUAGCAAAGGCUAGAUCCACAAAGGGAUCCAUGAGAGGUCUACUCCUUAAGGUAGUAGUGGUUAGGAAUCCGACCAUCCCCAUCACACGAUUUGAUCUUUUAAGAUUUUGGGUUGUCUGAUCUACAAAGAAUGAAGAGAUACUGGGAGAGAGGAAAUACUCCUGGGAAUAAGUAGUGGUUGGGAGAAAUCUCACUGUUAUCUCUUUAAGGGCCCGGGACACAGAUACAUACAGAGUGGUUGGGGCAAGAUUCCCCUGUCCCAACUAACAGGAAUGACCUUUAGGAAGGAACCAGCAUAUAUACUCAUGCAUCUGAUGAAGUGGGUAUUCACCCACGAAAGCUCAUGCUCCAAAAUGUGUGUUAGUCUAUAAGGUGCCACAGGAUUCUUUGCUGCUUUAACAUAUAUAAUGUCUCCUAUCUCAUAGUAGGGCAAACAUUGGCAGGAGAAGGUUGCCUGCAUGCAUGCUGGGGGGAUAUUUUGAGGAAAGGGUUCAAAUGAAGGAGAAGCUGGCGAAUCCCUUACCCCAGCUCCAAGGAGGAGAGCUGAGAGAAUACCUGUCUGAAGGAAGGAGAUACUGGAAGACGCAACUGGCCGAUACUGGGAGCCAGUGGGAGCCACGAUUGGCCAAACCUGCAGAUGCGGCAGGAAUGAUUGGGUUUUUCCUCUUUUAAUGAGUUUUGGAAUUUUUCCCCCAUGAUGGAGGUUUGGAAAGAAAUCACCUCUUCUCUAGAGGAGGGGUCGGCAACCUCUGGCAUGCGGCUUGCCAGGGUAAGCACCCUAACAGGCAGGACCAGUUUGUUUCCCUGCCACGUCAGCAGGUUCAGCUGAUGGCGGCUCCCACUGGCCGCAGUUCGCCAUCCCAGGCCAAUGGAGGUGGUGGGAAGCCACUGCCAGCACAUCCUUUGCCCACACCGCCGGCCCGCCCAAAGCAACACAAGCAACAUCAGAAGGUUGAUUUUCUUUUUUGGUGAUUUGGGUUCUAUAGUUUCCACAUCAGUGUUGCUCUUUAAAGACAUCUGAAAGCAUGUUCCAUACCUCAUCCCUCUCAGAUAUUGGAAGGCCAUUCAGAUUCUUAAAUUUUGGGUCGAGUACUGUAGUUAUCUUUCAGAAAUUUCACAUGGUGUCUUCAUUGAAUUUGUCAAAUUUGCAGUGAAAGUGUUCUUCAAAUGAACAACAUGUGUUGGAUCAUCAUCCGAGACUGCUAUAACAUGAAAUAUGUGGCAUAAUAUGGGUAAAACAGAGCAGGAGAUAUACAAUUCCCCCCAAGGAAUUCAGUCACAAAUUUAAUUAACACAUUCUUUUUUUUAAUGAGUGUCAUCAGUAUGGAAGCAUGUCCUCUGGAAUGAUGGCCGAAGCAUGAAGAGGCAUAUGAAUUUUUACCGUGUCUGUCAUAUAAAUAUCUUGCAAUGCCAGCUACAACAGUGUCAUACAAAUGCUUGUUCUCGCUUUCAGGUGACAUUGUAGUUAAGAAGUGGGCGUCAUUAUCUCCUGUAAAUGUAAACAAACCUGUUUCUCUUUGCAAUUGGAUGAACAGGAAGUAGGGCAGAGUCGACUUGUAGGUUCCAAAGUUUUGCAUUUUUUUUUUGAGUGCAGAUAUGUAACAAAAAACCGCACAUUUGUAAGUUGCACUUUCAUGAUAGUGAGAUUGUACUACAGUACUUGUAUUUGAUGAAAUGAAAAAUACUAUUUCUUUUGUUAAUCAUUUCUACAGUGCAAAUGUUUGUGAUAAAAAUAACAUAAAGUGAACAUUGUACACUUUGUAUUUUGUGUUGUAAUUGAAAUCAAUAUGUUUUAAAAUGUAGAAAAACAUCCAAAAAUGUUUAAUAAAUUUCACUUCACUUAAUUUCA